AUUGAACGCUGGCGGCAUGCCUUACACAUGCAAGUCGAACGGCAGCACGGGAGCAAUCCUGGUGGCGAGUGGCGAACGGGUGAGUAAUAUAUCGGAACGUGCCCAGUCGUGGGGAUAACGUAGCGAAAGCUACGCUAAUACCGCAUACGAUCUAUGGAUGAAAGCGGGGGAUCGCAAGACCUCGCGCGAUUGGAGCGGCCGAUAUCAGAUUAGGUAGUUGGUGAGGUAAAGGCUCACCAAGGCGACGAUCCUUAGCUGGUCUGAGAGGAUGAUCAGCCACACUGGGACUGAGACACGGCCCAGACUCCUACGGGAGGCAGCAGUGGGGGAAUUUUGGACAAUGGGCGCAAGCCUGAUCCAGCAAUGCCGCGUGCAGGAUGAAGGCCU
rnacentral:rRNA from 1 species